UACGAAGGGGGCUAGCGUUGUUCGGAAUUACUGGGCGUAAAGCGCACGUAGGCGGGUUAUUAGGUCAGGGGUGAAAUCCCGGAGCUCAACUCCGGAACUGCCUUUGAUACUGGUAAUCUAGAGAUCGGAAGAGGUUAGUGGAAUUCCCAGUGUAGAGGUGAAAUUCGUAGAUAUUGGGAAGAACACCAGUGGCGAAGGCGGCUAACUGGUCCGAUACUGACGCUGAGGUGCGAAAGCGUGGGGAGCAAACAGG
rnacentral:rRNA from 1 species